rnacentral:rRNA from 1 species
CCUACGGGGGGCAGCAGUGGGGGAUAUUGCACAAUGGGGGAAACCCUGAUGCAGCGACGCCGCGUGGGCGAAGAAGUAUUUCGGUAUGUAAAGCCCUAUCAGCAGGGAAGAAGAAAUGACGGUACCUGAGUAAGAAGCACCGGCUAAAUACGUGCCAGCAGCCGCGGUAAUAGGGAGGGUGCAAGCGUUGUCCGGAAUCAUUGGGCGUAAAGAGUUCGUAGUCGGCAUGUAAAGUCAGGUGUUAAAGGCGCAGGCUCAACCUGUGUAUGGCACUUGAUACUUGCAAGCUGGAAUGCGGUAGAGGUAAAGGGAAUUCCUGGUGUAGCGGUGAAAUGCUUAGAUAUCAGGAGGAACAUCGGUGGCGUAAGCGCUUUACUGGGCCGUAAUUGACGCUGAGGAACGAAAGCCAGGGUAGCAAAUGGGAUUAGAUACCCGGGUAGUC